rnacentral:rRNA from 1 species
GAUGAACGCUGGCGGCGUGCCUAAUACAUGCAAGUCGAGCGAACAGACGAGGAGCUUGCUCCUCUGACGUUAGCGGCGGACGGGUGAGUAACACGUGGAUAACCUACCUAUAAGACUGGGAUAACUUCGGGAAACCGGAGCUAAUACCGGAUAAUAUAUUGAACCGCAUGGUUCAAUAGUGAAAGACGGUUUUGCUGUAACUUAUAGAUGGAUCCGCGCCGCAUUAGCUAGUUGGUAUGGUAACGGCUUACCAAGGCAACGAUGCGUAGCCGACCUGAGAGGGUGAUCGGCCACACGGGAACUGGGCCACGGUCCAGACUCCUACGGGAGGCAGCAGUAGGGAAUCUUCCGCAAUGGGCGAAAGCCUGACGGAGCAACGCCGCGUGAGUGAUGAAGGUCUUCGGAUCGUAAAACUCUGUUAUUAGGGAAGAACAAAUGUGUAAGUAACUAUGCACGUCUUGACGGUACCUAAUCAGAAAGCCACGGCUAACUACGUG